AUUAUACUCCCUCCGUUCCGAAUUACUUGUCUUGGAUUUGUCUAGAUACGGAUGUAUCUAGACUCAUUUUAGUGCUAGAUACAUCCGUAUCUAGACAAAUCCAAGACAAGUAAUUCGGAACGGAGGGAGUACAAC
rnacentral:pre_miRNA from 1 species